GAAAAAGCCCUUAAUCUUCUUCAAGAAGAAGACGAUCUCCGGCACAAAAAACCCCGGGAGAUGGAAAUUACACAGCCCCACUACUAUUAAUAUCAUAAAAAAUAACAAGAGUGAGCCUUGAUCAAUCAAACUAAGUGCUACAAUGAUGAUAUCGGUGUUUGCAAGUGAGUGUUGUGGUUUAGCUGUGAAAGUCGUGUCUCUAAACAGAUCCGAUCAUGCCCUUUUAUUGUACACAGUUUAAAUGGUAUCCUAACUAAGCUUCCGAGAAUUCUGGGAUCCUAAGGAGAACAAGUCAGCAACCGUUGGCAGCUUUUGCUUCAUUUCCACACAUUUUCCUGAGCUAGCUUUACCAUAAUUCCGAUACAAGCUAUCCACUAGCUGUGGACAUGGGAAUAUUCCUGCAAAAUAUUCCUUAAAGGCACAAGCAGUUGAUUAGUAACUAUUAGGUUCAGGAUCCCUAGUCUCAUUAGGAUCCUGCCUGAUGCUAAAGAUUUCAGGAUUCUACCGCAUACUAGAAACAUCAGGAUCCCGGACGCAAAAACUUAACCCAAACAAUUGCCACCCAAUUUUAUAGCUGUAGAUUACAAUUGUAAAAUUUCGAAAUUCAAAUAUAAAUGUGGAUUGGAUUAAAGAAUACCAUUGUUGACCCUUUUACCCUUGUGAGCUGACUGCUGUCAAUCGCCUUUAUAACCUCUAGCCCUAGAUUUACUUCAUAGUCAUUAUAUCGGUGAAGGGGACGAAGCAAAAGCCAGUCUCUCUCUUCUAUCUUUCAUUUUUUCAUCUUCGUUUUUUUCCGGUGAAUAGUGUCAAUGGCCAAGAAGGGUCUCUGAUCAUCAAAUGUUGCAUAGUUUACCGAUCAGAGGAUCCUAGAAUCCUCUACAGAGGAAGCCUGCACUUUCGAUGACCAAUGCAUCAGGCAUUUAGUUACUUCCCAUAUUUUACCAAAGCAAACCAUCAUCCCUCCUUUUGUGUAAUGCCUCGUAUUUCCGUAUUACUAUUCUUUUUGAAAACUCGUGUUCGUUUUAUAUUUUUAGAACCACUGUCGAAAUCAGACCGAAAAUGAAUUAAAAACGACAAGCGACACAUUUUUACGUGCUUUUAACGCAACCGACCAACGAACGCAUCAUACACCGAUUUCCGACACCAUUUAUGUUUUUUUUUUUGUUUAUUUUUCCUAUAAUAAUAUCCUGCAAGAUUUCGCGACCGGGCCGUUUAGAACGCAAGAAACAGGCUUGUGGGCUUUGGGCCCAACUCACAAUAAACCCUAACUAUAAAAGGGUUUAUUCACCCUUCUCUCACAUACACACACCCUUCUUCCUCUCUCUCGAUCUCUCUACCGGAGCCGAUUCCCGACUGGAUCUCCGGCGCUGAUCUCCGGCCAUGCACAACCACUUCACCACGACCUAUGUCACUCUCCACGCUCGCUCAUCUCAGUUCAGGUCACGUUUCGGUUAGUAUUUCAAGUUCCGGUCAGAUUUGUUUUGAUUUGGGUUUGUUUCCGACAGUGGUGCCGAUGAUGACGACGACGAUGGUCUUCGCCGGAGAACCUGCAACAUCGAGGAUGAAGUUGACGUCGCCGGAAUCACCUCGCACCUUCAUUUCGGAUAAUUCCCAUUGUUUGAAGUUUUCCCUAUUUUCCCAUGCGCUAAUCUUCAAGGAAUCACAUAUGCAACCAUUGAUUUUGAUGAUGCAAGGAAUCUAGUAGGAUUGCUAGAAACGCAUUUAAACUUUAAUACUUGUUGUACCGUAUUUUAUUUUCGAACAUGUUGUAUUUUGUUUCUAAACCUUGUAUUAAACCAUUAUAAAUGAAAUGGAAUUUUAGUUCUUUUACA